rnacentral:rRNA from 1 species
GAGGAAUAUUGCACAAUGGGGGCAACCCUGAUGCAGCAACGCCGCGUGCGGGACGAAGGCCCUCGGGUCGUAAACCGCUUUUCUGAGGGACGAGCAAGGACGGUACCUCAGGAAUAAGUCUCGGCUAACUACGUGCCAGCAGCCGCGGUAAAACGUAGGAGGCGAGCGUUAUCCGGAUUUACUGGGCGUAAAGCGCAUGCAGGCGGCUAGGUGAGUCGGACGUGAAAGCUCCUGGCUUAACUGGGAGAGGCCGUUCGAUACUGCCCGGCUUGAGGUUGGGAGAGGGGUGCGGAAUUCCCGGUGUAGUGGUGGAAUGCGUAGAUAUCGGGAGGAACACCAGUGGCGAAGGCGGCACCCUGGCCCACACCUGACGCUGAGGUGCGAAAGCGUGGGGAGCAAAC